rnacentral:rRNA from 1 species
UACGUAGGGUGCGAGCGUUAAUCGGAAUACUGGGCGUAAAGCGUGCGCAGGCGGUGAUGUAAGACAGGUGUGAAAUCCCCGGGCUUAACCUGGGAACUGCAUUUGUGACUGCAUCGCUGGAGUGCGGCAGAGGGGGAUGGAAUUCCGCGUGUAGCAGUGAAAUGCGUAGAUAUGCGGAGGAACACCGAUGGCGAAGGCAA